rnacentral:other from 1 species
GGUCUCAGGACGAGACAGGUUUUCAGGAAGAAAACUGACAGGGACGAUUCGGAGAUUGCAGGACGCGAUCAGUGCAAACGGGAUGUUUGCCGUCAGGAUGACACAAGGAUGAUGCUUCAGGACUGAAGCGAUGGACACCGCCAGGAAGGCUGUUGAGAGUUAACUCAGGAUGGGUUAGCGGGUCAGGAGACCAAGGAACAACUUCAGGAUGAAGUUCAAUAAAGGAUGCGCUGAAGGAUUCAGCAUACAAAGGAAUGAUGCAGGGAGCACCAUCGUAGUAGGAUGCUACAGGUAAGACCUAAGGGCGCAGCGUCAGUUGCGCCCAUUCUUUUAUUG